CCUACGGGAGGCAGCAGUGAGGAAUAUUGGUCAAUGGACGCAAGUCUGAACCAGUCAUGCCGCGUGCAGGAAGACGGCUCUAUGGGUUGUAAACUGCUUUUGUACGAGGGUAAAGGCAGAUACGCGUAUCUGUCUGAAAGUAUCGUACGAAUAAGGAUCGGCUAACUCCGUGCCAGCAGCCGCGGUAAUACGGAGGAUUCAAGCGUUAUCCGGAUUUAUUGGGUUUAAAGGGUGCGUAGGUGGUCUGAUAAGUUAGAGGUGAAAUCCCGUGGCUCAACAUUGGAAUUGCCGUUGAUACUGGUCGGCUAGAGAGCAGUUGAGGUAGGCGGAAGUCGUGGUGUAGCGGUGAAAUGCUUAGAGAUCAUGAAGAACCCCGAUUGCGAAGGCAGCUUACCAAGCUGCUUCUGACGUUGAGGCACGAAAGCGUGGGGAGCAAACAGGAUUAGAUACCCUUGUAGUC
rnacentral:rRNA from 1 species